GAGUUUGAUCGUGGCUCAGGACGAACGCUGGCGGCGCGCCUAACACAUGCAAGUCGAACGGGAUGCGGAGAGGAUUUAUCUUUUCUGUGUUUAGUGGCGAACGGGUGAGUAACGCGUGAGGAACCUGCCUCAAAAGAGGGGGACAACAGUUGGAAACGACUGCUAAUACCGCAUAAGCCCACGGGGCCGCAUGGCCCUGAGGGAAAAGGAGCAAUCCGCUUUGAGAUGGCCUCGCGUCCGAUUAGCUGGUUGGUGAGGUAACGGCCCACCAAGGCGACGAUCGGUAGCCGGACUGAGAGGUUGAACGGCCA
rnacentral:rRNA from 1 species